UGGCAGUGUCUUAGCUGGUUGUUG
rnacentral:ncRNA from 4 species